UUUGACCUCAAAUCAGGUAGGACUACCCGCUGAACUUAAGCAUAUCAAUAAGCGGAGGAAAAGAAACUAACAAGGAUUCCCCUAGUAACUGCGAGUGAAGCGGGAAAAGCUCANAUUUAAAAUCUGGCGGUCUUUUGGCUGUCCGAGUUGUAAUCUAGAGAAGUGUU
rnacentral:rRNA from 1 species